AUGCUUAGGGUUGUUUUGAAGAAUAACAAGAAAAUGUGGGAAGAAUGCUUGCCUCAUAUCGAAUUUGCUUAUAAUCGUUCAUUGCAUUCUACUACUAAGAUGUGCCCUUUUGAAAUUGUGUAUGGUUUCCUACCUCGUGCACCUAUUGAUUUGUUGCCUCUUCCAUCUUCAGAGAAGGUUAAUUUUGAUGCUAAAGAAUGUUCUAAAUUGAUUUUAAAAAUGCAUGAGUUAACUAAGGAAAACAUUGAGCGUAUGAAUGCUAAAUAUAAACUUGCCGGAGAUAAGGGUAGAAAACAUGUUGUGUUUGCGCCUGGAGAUCUUGUUUGGUUACAUUUGCGUAAGGAUAGAUUUCCUAAUCUGCGCAAAUCAAAGCUAAUGCCACGUGCUGAUGGUCCUUUUAAGGUGUUAGAGAAAAUAAAUGAUAAUGCAUAUAAACUUGAGCUACCUGUAGAUUUUCGGGUUAGUCCCACUUUUAACAUUGCAGAUUUGAAGCCUUAUUUGGGUGAGGAAGAUGCGCUUCCGUCGAGGACGACUUCAUUUCAAGAAGGGGAGGAUGAUGAGGACAUCAAUACCAUUGUUACACCCACAACCCCUACUGUUACAUAUACUGGACCAAUUACUAGAGCUCGCGCACGUCAAUUAAAUUACCAGGUACUUUCGUUUCUUGGUAAUGAUUCUAAUGUUCAUGAGAUUAUGAUGCUGCCUAAAUUGGAUACAUUUGUUUUGCUUACAAAUGAAGGGCCUAGCUUGGAGAAGGAUGAACAUUGGAGCAAGAACACGCAUGGAGUUGAUGGCAUGCGCAAGGGGAUCAAGAACGGAGUUACAAGUGAUGAUUUCAGGACUUUGAAGCCGCCAUAA
rnacentral:rRNA from 1 species